ACAGGCCUACGGGAGGCAGCAGUGGGGGAUAUUGCUCAAUGGGGGAAACCCUGAAGCAGCAACGCCGCGUGGAGGAUGAAGGUUUUCGGAUUGUAAACUCCUUUUGUUAGAGAAGAUAAUGACGGUAUCUAACGAAUAAGCACCGGCUAACUCCGUGCCAGCAGCCGCGGUAAUACGGAGGGUGCAAGCGUUACUCGGAAUCACUGGGCGUAAAGAGCGCGUAGGCGGGAUAGCAAGUCAGAUGUGAAAUCCUAUGGCUUAACCAUAGAACUGCAUUUGAAAUUGUUAUUCUAGAGUAUGGGAGG
rnacentral:rRNA from 1 species